rnacentral:lncRNA from 1 species
GUGGAUGUCAUGAUGUAAAAUAACUAAUAGGUGAAAGAGUGAAUAAAAUAUCAUAGUUUUGAAGAUCUUAUUUUAAAUAUAUUAUAACAAAUUAUCUUAAAAAAAUAAAUAAUAGUCAAGGGAUAGAAAAAUUAAAGGUGCAAAUACUUCUUUUUUUACAAAAUAAGCUUCUACUCACUUUGUAAGACCACAAAUAAAGCAAAAUAAGGUAGAUUAGAAAAAUAAACAAUGUAAGCACCUUUAGAAAGAAGUUAAGAAUGACUUGUAGCAAAAGUUACCUUAAAAAUCCAAGAGAUGAUACUUAGAGAGGACCAGUUAUGAACUUGGAUUGAAAUCAGAUCCUAUAGCACAAAAUAGAGCUCCUAGAGUAGUUCAAAGGUUCUUUGAUUGAUUGGAGAAUGGUAUAAAAGAGCAGACUUGAUAAGAUUUCUAUAAGCACUAAUUUUGAGGAUUUUAGGUAGAUAAUGACUUUAUAAGAGCUUUACAAAGUUGAUAUUAUUUUCAAUGACUUUGGUUUUUAGAAAAUAAAAUAGGAUUGACGUUUUGGACAAUUUCAGGAGUUUGAUAAUAGAUCUAUAAGUGAAGUUUUUGGGUUUGUGGAUGUAGUUGUGCUUAAUGUAUGAUAUAAAUUUGGAUUUGAUCGAAUGACUAGAUUGAAAAGUAUGAAGGUUUCAAUGGGUUAUGGUCUCAAAAUUCAAGGUUUUGAAGACUAAUGAAGUUUUUUUAGAUAUCUAUCAAUCUGCCAAUUAGAUUAAAAUAUAUAUAUAUAUAUAUAUAUAUAUUUAUAGAGUUAAUCAAAUUGAUUUCUAAUAAGUGUGUAAAGUUUGGAAGCAAAGUAAUAGUUCAAUCAUGAAUAAUUGAUUCUAUGAGAUUGGCAUCAAGGUCAAAAAAGGAGACUGGCCUAUACCCAAGCAUAUUUUUGAUGUUAUUGUCUUUGGUAAUUCUGAUGUUGUACUGUAAUUGUUUAUAAUAUGUAAAAAUUAAUUAGAACAUAUAAUAUGUUCAUAAGUCUUGGUGUAUGUUAGAAUGGUUAAUAAAUUAAUUUAAAGAGAGUGGAUUUAAGAAAUUUUAUUUUGAGUUUUAUCUUUUUUGCUUAUAACAUUCAAAAAAAUUAUAGGACCUAAAUAUUUAGUAUGA